AUGGCAUGUCUGCACCCAGAUGUUGGCUGCUGGUCCAGAUAUCUGCACAGUGAUCCCAUCAUAGAGCAUCAGCUGUGCUGCUGUGAUAGUUUAUUAGGGGGAAAAAAAAGGGGGGGCAAAAUUUUACUGAAGAAAGGGCAAAAUAUCACAUGGCAGGGAGAAGUGGAGAAAAACUCACAGGACAGCAAACAAGCCCAAUCCCACAGGCCUUUAGAUACUCAUCCAACUUCCCUGUCCCAGAUGACUAGGGUUUCCACAGCCUCUGACCACCUCUGCAAAGGACAUGAAGGGAAGAUGGAUGCGAAGUCAGCUGGUUAUCCACACAACAAGAGUAUUUACAGAUAUGCACACAGUAAUGGAAGGAGAGUUUGAAAGACCAGGGCAGCGGCAGAAACAGCCUAAGGCUGAGGAGAAGUCUCACUUUCCAGGCUCCAGUCCCCAUUGAGAUAAUUCCACCUAACUCCAACCAGACUUUUUGAAGAAGCAAUAUGCCUGUACAUCAAGAAGGGGAGAAUAAGCAUGUCUGAAUAACUCUUAUAUUCUGCUAUUCCUUCCUACAAUGCUAGCAUCUAGGCUCAGAAGAAAAAUAAACCACACUUGAAGAAAAAAAAAAAAAACAAAACAUUUUGCAGCCUUACCACAGACCUGUUUGUUCUUAGGUUAACCAACAGCUAUCCAGUCUCCUUGCCUGGCUUUAAAGACAGCAGCUGCUAAGACUUGUUCUCCAGCCUGCUCAAGCUGCAGAAGUUUUGUUAAAGAGACUCCCCUGAAAGAUGCAAAUUUCAGUUGGAAGUUACUUCACUUUAAUCCUGCAUAUUAACCAUUUAAAAAUAUACCUGUUACUUAAGCUUUAAACAAUGCAUCAAAAUAAAAAAGCCAAAGUUUAUGUUUUAUUAAGGCUUUUAGAAAAGGACAGUAUAUUUGUUCUGUUCAUCCCUGCAUAUGCUGAAAUAGGCAAAUUUCUCAAGUCCUUGGCCAUUUCCCAAUUGCACGUUCAGAUUCCACCUCACUACUUGGAUGUGUUUCUAGCAGAAAAUCCUUCCUAUUUGAAAGCCUCGCAUGUUUAAAGGAGUGAGGAUCCCAUCAGCACUCAUUUCUGCUCACUCCCUUCUUGCUGUAGGGGUAACAGAUCUUUCCAGUUCUUGUAGUUCCAUAAUUAUGAAUAUAAAAAGUACGAUUUGCUCAUAUCUGUACCAUCUCAUCUUGGAAGGUUUAAAAAAAAAAAAAAAUCAUGCUAUUGCAUGCAACAGACUAACCAAAAGGACAUGCAUCAGCACAGUAGGCAACAUGCAACUCUGUACAUUUCUGUGGAAGAAGCUGCACAAAGCCUGCUGGCAUUAAACAUCCAAAAGGCAAGAACAUCCAGGCAUGCAAUAUGCAGUGAAAGCCUGGCUCCUGGCAGAUCCUCACUUGCAGGAAAAUCACGUACAUAUUUUAAAUACUUAGUACUGCUUUCCCUCAUGUCAGCAGCUCUAGAGAAUAGGUCCAGUCCAGC
rnacentral:lncRNA from 1 species